UACGGAGGGGGCGAGCGUUAUUCGGAAUUAUUGGGCGUAAAGGGCGCGUAGGCGGCCCGGUAAGUCAAAGGUGAAAUCCCUCGGCUCAACUGAGGAACUGCCUUUGAAACUGUCGGGCUUGAGGCCGGGAGGGGGUAGCGGAAUUCCCAGUGUAGCGGUGAAAUGCGUAGAUAUUGGGAAGAACACCGGUGGCGAAGGCGGCUAUCUGGACCGACAUUGACGCUGAGGCGCGAAAGCCAGGGGAGCGAACGGG
rnacentral:rRNA from 1 species